rnacentral:lncRNA from 10 species
GGGACUGGGCGACCCUCCGUUCUGUUGCUGCCGGUGAGGCGGGAGAGCGCCGGGGCCGACACGCGCCCCACUGUCAGACCACGGAAUGAUGUGGCCCACAAGCAGCUCUCAGCUUUUGGAGAGUAUGUGGCUGAAAUCUUGCCCAAGUGUCCUGCUUCAAUGAGUUAGAGGUCUGUAUCCAUCCUGAUGGCGUCAUCCCAGUGCUGACUUUCCUCAGGGAUCACACCAAUGCACAGUUCAAAUCUCUGGUUGACUUGACAGCAGUGGACGUCCCAACUCGGCAAAACCGUUUUGAGGUCAGUUGGGAGAUCUGAGAAGGUUUUGGGGGUAAGGAUAUUAAUUUCAGUUUGUAACAUACAAUAGAACACAGCAGUUAAACUGGAACUUCAGAGUCAAGUAGAUCUGAAGUUGGAUCUUGGUUCU